rnacentral:misc_RNA from 1 species
AAGGAUCAUUACCGAGUUAGGGUCGCCUUCCGGGUGCCCGACCUCCCAACCCUAUGUCUAAAAUACCUCAGUUGCUUCGGUGGGCCGGGCGCGACCAACUGGCUUCGUGACCGGUGGCCGGGGGAUACCCCGGCGGCAGAGUGCCCACCGAUGGCCUCCAUAAAACUCUUGAUAACCUAAACCUGUCGUCUGAAUGUACUUGAUAUUGAAUCAAAAACAAAACUUUCAACAACGGAUCUCUUGGUUCUG